ACGAGUGGCGGACGGGUGAGUAACACGUAGGUAACCUGCCCAGAAGCGGGGGACAACAUUUGGAAACAGAUGCUAAUACCGCAUAACAGCGUUGUUCGCAUGAACAACGCUUAAAAGAUGGCUUCUCGCUAUCACUUCUGGAUGGACCUGCGGUGCAUUAGCUUGUUGGUGGGGUAACGGCCUACCAAGGCGAUGAUGCAUAGCCGAGUUGAGAGACUGAUCGGCCACAAUGGGACUGAGACACGGCCCAUACUCCUACGGGAGGCAGCAGUAGGGAAUCUUCCACAAUGGGCGCAAGCCUGAUGGAGCAACACCGCGUGAGUGAAGAAGGGUUUCGGCUCGUAAAGCUCUGUUGUUAAAGAAGAACACGUAUGAGAGUAACUGUUCAUACGUUGACGGUAUUUAACCAGAAAGUCACGGCUAACUACGUGCCAGCAGCCGCGGUAAUACGUAGGUGGCAAGCGUUAUCCGGAUUUAUUGGGCGUAAAGAGAGUGCAGGCGGUUUUCUAAGUCUGAUGUGAAAGCCUUCGGCUUAACCGGAGAAGUGCAUCGGAAACUGGAUAACUUGAGUGCAGAAGAGGGUAGUGGAACUCCAUGUGUAGCGGUGGAAUGCGUAGAUAUAUGGAAGAACACCAGUGGCGAAGGCGGCUACCUGGUCUGCAACUGACGCUGAGACUCGAAAGCAUGGGUAGCGAACAGGAUUAG
rnacentral:rRNA from 1 species